rnacentral:sRNA from 2 species
GCCAGGCGUGGUGGUGCACGCCUGUAAUCCCAGCUACUCGGGAGGCUGAGGCAGGAGAAUCGCUUGAACCCGGGAGGCGGAGGUUGCAGUGAGCCAAGAUCAUGCCACUGCACUCCAGCCUGGGCAACAAGAGCGAAAUUCUGUCUCAA